UACGUAGGGCGCAAGCGUUGUCCGGAAUCACUGGGCGUAAAGGGCGCGUAGGUGGUGGCUUAAGCGUGCGGUGAAAGCUCGGAGCUCAACUCCGAGUCGGCCGUGCGAACUGGGCUCACUGGAGCAUAGUAGAGGCAGGUGGAAUUCCGGGUGUAGCGGUGGAAUGCGUAGAGAUCCGGAAGAACACCGGUGGCGAAGGCGGCCUGCUGGGCUAUGGCUGACACUGAGGCGCGACAGCGUGGGGAGCAAACAGG
rnacentral:rRNA from 1 species